GAAAUUUUUCCCACAACUUCAGCCAGGUGAUCAAUAGUGUUAAUGCUUGAAUGGCAAGCAAUGUGAGCUGCUAAUAUCAGUUCACAAAUUUUCAUGCUGUUAUUGGCAUUUGUUUUUCUAAUGCCGGAUUGAAAUAAUGUUCUCAUGUUUGAAAAUGGGGCUGCAUUUUUUCUGUGCUUUUCAGUUGAGCUAUGACUGACAAGGUCACUGUGAUGGGCUCUAAUUGUUGUUUUGCAGAACUUGCACGCUGCAACAGAGUCAUCACCAGGCACACCAGAAAUCCAUUCUCUGAGACCAUCUUCUUUUUCCCAUUCUUUCUUGUAUUUCUUGCCGUACUUAGCCCACUUGCCCAUUUUCACUGCACGACAGAGAGUAAACUGUUUCUGAUAGCCAAGGUGCUGGUUGUGACUGUGUGGUGGUUGAAGAGAGACUGCUGGCUUCAUCAUCAUACUGUCCAGGUCACGGGGAUAGGUCAUGCGACGGUGUUAACGAGGUCGUGCCCUCAUGAUAAAUACUGAUAAUCCCCCUGGGGAGAGGGGAAAGAGGUCACACCCAGGCAGAUGGCCAGGCACGUCAGGUAUCGUCACCUGACAACACACCUGGCGUGGCGCUGUGCCUGAGCUUGUGAAAAAACGAUAUAAAAUAAUUUUUCCAAUAUAAAAAGCCCAAAAUACCGCGUACUACAAUAAAAACAGCCCAAGAAACCGCCAACCCGCGAAUACCAUUUUCUUCCCGCCAAUUCCAAUGAAAAAUAGCCCAAUUGGGCGGGAAAACCGCGGACCUGGCAACCCUGGGACGCACCGCCACCUGUGUGUUUAUGUUCACGUGAACCAAGGAGUGCACAGAAAAGAAAAUCUCUUGAUUUAACAAAAAGAACAACCACAAGCUAGUGAGAUGAAAACACGAUCCAUAUUUUCUUAAGAGACAGUGAAAGAAAUUGUGGAAAGCAUGCUUGUGACUGAACAAAAAGAACAACCACAAGCUAGUGAGAUGAAAACACGAUCCAUAUUUUCUGAAGAGACAGUGAAAGAAAUUGUGGAAAGCAUGCUAUGUCCAUGUUCUCAGAACAAUGCUACUGCUACCUUUACACACCACCAAAUAGACACGUAUUUAAGUGGAGUGUUCAUGUGGUCACGUAAUUGCAGAUACUAUAAAAGGUGUGCAAGUGAAAGAACAUUGUUAUCCCAUGACAACAUUAUUAGUGUACUGCAUGAUGCUCGGUGUUGGAUACGCUGGUGUUGACAAACUGAUUUCAUUUUUAAGCUUGCAUCAUUUUACUAGACCUACAUACAUUCGUUAUGCUAGGUUUAUCACAGAUACUGCCACAGACUUAGUGAAAAGUGUCCUGGAAAAGAGUAGACAUGCUGUGUGUGAUCAUUAUGCAAGCAAACAGGAUAUUGAACAAGUUGAUGGCAUGCCUCAAGUAAGCACAACUUUUGAUGGCUCUUGGCAUAAACGUGGUCACAAAUCAAACUUCGGAGUAGGUGCAGUGAUUGAUGUUGACACAAGACUUAUUUUAGAUCAUGAAGUUUGCUCAAAAGUAUGUUUCAAGUGUAACGCUAAAAAGCAAAUGGAGAGGCGAAAUUACUGCUACCGAGUAUGUGGUUUGGUUGGAUGAACAUGACUGUGACGCGAAUUAUGAAGGCUCCUCAGGGGGAAUGGAGGCAGCAGCAGCUGUGGCAUUGUGGCGUAGAUCUCGUCAGUAUAAUAUGUUCUAUAAAACAUUCGUGUCUGAUGGUGACAGCUCUGCAUUCCGUUCUGUGUGCGGGAUGAAUCAAGGUGCAGGACCUUACGGUGAGCAGUGCCCUGUCGUGAAGGCCGAGUGCAUUAACCAUGUUGCAAAAAGACUUGCCACAGGCCUUCGUGCUUUGAAAAAGACAAAGUGAUGCAGAAAAGCCAGCAACAUGGGGAGGAAGACAAGCUGACUGACGUAGUUAUAGAUCACCUGCAGUGUUAUUUUCAAGUGAGUCUGAGCAGAAAGGUGGGCACAACUGCUAGUGAAAUGCGUGAGAGAAUGCGUGAGGAAAUCAUGUCAAGUUUCUUCCACUGCACGUCAACAGACGACAAUCCUCAACAUGACAGGUGUGCCAAAGGUGAAAGAUCAUGGUGCUUCUACAACAGAAGCAUUGCUUUAGGACAACAGCCUCAUUCCCACACCACAAUGAAAGUUUAUUUCCGUCUGGAAGAAGAUCAGAAGAGAAAAAUAAAAGCCAUCUAUGACAGACUCACUACAGAUGAGAUGAUGAAUCGAUGUCUUCAGGGCAUAACUCAAAACCGAAAUGAGCACCUACACUCAAGAAUAUGGAGGAUAUGCCCAAAACAUUGUAAUGCAUCAAAAAUGUUGGUGGACUUCACAGCAGCAACUGCGGUAUGCAAUUACAAUGUCGGCUACACUGAAAGCAACUUGGCUGGCCUGCUUGGCAUUGAAUCUACAUUGUCUAUGGAAAAAUAUCUGCAGAACAUGGACAAGACGAUGGAGUCCCCAUUCAGAUGAAAGAUGAGGAACAAGAACCUGCGAAGAGACUUGGAGUAUGCAGCUGGAGGCUUCUGACUGUCACUGUCUUGUCAACAAAUCCUUUUUUCUCAAAAGUAUCUUAGCAUUGUCAAUAAAUUUUCAUGAAGAUUGAUUGAGAAGUUUAUGAUUAACCCAAAAAAUCAAACUUUCUACACACGUAAGGGCUGGAGAAGGUGGUGGCCAAGCUUCAGAAAUGCAGGAAGGAUUAGUGGUGAUGGCCAGAAAUGCAGGAAGGAUUAGUGGUGAUGGCUGCAGGCUGCCAUGACCCCCCCAGCUUUGCAGGGCUAAAAGCUGACCAAGACUUGACUGGCUUAGUGAUGUCUGCCUGACUUGAAAGUCUGAGUGAUGUCUGCCUGACUUGAAAGUCUGACAACAUAAGUCAUAGGUUCUGAUGCAGUGUGUGGUGAUGGACUGUGGCAGGGGAGAGUGGCCCACCUGCAGUGACAAUUAGCAAGCGCGUCUCUCAAAGCUGUUGUUUUCCAUAAGAGAGACUGGCUUGCCCCUCCGUCAACCUGAAAUGGAUGGGAGGCUACUGUUUGUUCACCUUGACAAGUUGUGCAGCCUUACUCAUCUCUAAUGGUCACCAAGAGGCACAUCAAGGAUUUCACUUACUGGGCUGAAGGGAGUCUGGCAAGGCUGUGAGCUGACCAAGACUGACUGACUGGGAAUGAUGAACUGGAGAAAUGAAGCUGAAUCAAAUGAGAAUAAUGGGUGCUUGGAGUGGCCGAGAAAGUACUGUUGCGUGUCACGUGGAGAACCGAGUGCUGUUAUAACUCCAUGAUGCUAAAGAUGAGUAGUCGUAAGUCAUCACUGGCAAGAUGAUGACUGCUGUCCACAAUGCUGUCCACAAGGAAAUCACUGGCAAAGAUGUGAGGAGACUGUGGAGGACUGGGUGGGGAAACUUUCUGAAAAUAUUAUUAUAUUCAGUGAGGCAGUUAUCCACUCCUGUGAUGGUAUGGGUGGCUGCCUCAUUACUCUGUGCUGUGCCCACUUGGCUGUGUUCGCUGUCUGAGCUGUGGUUAAGAGUUCGAGGACUCCUCAAAUUAUUGAUUUGAUUUGUUUUUUUUUUUUUUUUUUUUAUAAAAUUUUUUUUCCUGGAUAUCUGUUGUCUUGUUCUCCAGAGACUCUUCUAGGUAUCCAGUAACCUGUUUGUUAUUUUUAACAAAGUGAAUUUUUGGUAUUUUAAGUGUUUAUUAUUGAAUAUGAUGCUUUUGAAUAUGGGUUCAGUAAUUUCCUGCUUUUGAAUAUGGGUUCAGUAAUUUCCUGAUUUCCUUUUUCUAUUAAAAUGUAUUAGGCAGGUUUUUAUUUAAAUGUUUUUAUAGUUUUUCCAUAUAACCUUUUUAUGCUACUCAUAUUCCCCCCACACUAUAUAUAUACCUGGUUGGUCCCACCCCCUGCUCUCCCUGCAUUCCCCCCACACUCUACUCCUCAUCCAUAGGUUCAUAGGUCUUUUUCUCUACUAUAUAUAUAUACCAGGUUGCUCCCACCCCCUGCUCUCCAUAUACCAGGUUGCUCCCACCCCCUGCUCUCCACUUAUAUAUAAAAUUUAUUUAUAUUAUAUACUGCUCUCUUACUUGACAAGUCUAUAUAACCUAACCUCACUUUUUCCGCUGUCUAUACUGCUCUCGAUAACCUGCUAUACUGCUCUCGAUAACCUAACCUCACUUCUUGGUCCGCUAGAUAAUACUGUAUUAUAGCUCUCGAUAACCUAACCUCACUUGGUCCGCUAGAUAAUUAUUUUUGCUCUCCACUUAUAUAUAAAAUUUAUAUUAUAUACUGGUCCGCUAGAUAAUUAUUUUUAGCUUCUAUUAUAAAAGACUUGUCUAACUCUCCACUGUCAAUAAAAUUAGCUCUCCACUGUCUAUUAUAAAAAGACACUGACUAUUAUAAUAAAAUUAGCUCCACUGACUAUUAUAAUAAAAUUAGCUCUCCACA